CAAGAUGUGCUGUGUUAAAGUGAGAUGGUGAAAUGGAUCCAUAGGGUCUAGAAGGCAAUGCUUUGCUGUUAAAGAGACUCCCUUUCGUCAGGGACUUGCAAGCAGAUGUAAUGGCAGGAAAUUGAGAGAGCACCGAUCUCUUCUGUUCAAAAGUAAAUGGAUAAAGGUUAAC